rnacentral:rRNA from 1 species
GACGAACGCUGGCGGCGUGCUUAACACAUGCAAGUCGAACGGAAAGGCCUCAGCUUGCUGGGGUACUCGAGUGGCGAACGGGUGAGUAACACGUGGGUGAUCUGCCUUGCACUCUGGGAUAAGCUUGGGAAACUGAGUCUAAUACCGGAUAUGAACUGCCUUUAGUGUGGUGGUUGGAAAGUUUUUUCGGUGCAAGAUGAGCUCGCGGCCUAUCAGCUUGUUGGUGGGGUAAUGGCCUACCAAGGCGUCGACGGGUAGCCGGCCUGAGAGGGUGUACGGCCACAUUGGGACUGAGAUACGGCCCAGACUCCUACGGGAGGCAGCAGUGGGGAAUAUUGCACAAUGGGCGGAAGCCUGAUGCAGCGACGCCGCGUGGGGGAUGACGGCCUUCGGGUUGUAAACUCCUUUCGACAGGGACGAAGCUUUUUGUGACGGUACCUGUAUAAGAAGCACCGGCUAACUACGUG